GCUUAACACAUGCAAGUCGAGGGGCAUCAGGAAGAAAGCUUGCUUUCUUUGCUGGCGACCGGCGCACGGGUGAGUAACACGUAUCCAACCUGCCCUUUACUCGGGGAUAGCCUUUCGAAAGAAAGAUUAAUACCCGAUGGCAUAAUGAUUCCGCAUGGUUUCAUUAUUAAAGGAUUCCGGUAAAGGAUGGGGAUGCGUUCCAUUAGGUUGUUGGUGAGGUAACGGCUCACCAAGCCUUCGAUGGAUAGGGGUUCUGAGAGGAAGGUCCCCCACAUUGGAACUGAGACACGGUCCAAACUCCUACGGGAGGCAGCAGUGAGGAAUAUUGGUCAAUGGGCGCUAGCCUGAACCAGCCAAGUAGCGUGAAGGAUGAAGGCUCUAUGGGUCGUAAACUUCUUUUAUAUAAGAAUAAAGUGCAGUAUGUAUACUGUUUUGUAUGUAUUAUAUGAAUAAGGAUCGGCUAACUCCGUGCCAGCAGCCGCGGUAAUACGGAGGAUCCGAGCGUUAUCCGGAUUUAUUGGGUUUAAAGGGAGCGUAGGUGGACUGGUAAGUCAGUUGUGAAAGUUUGCGGCUCAACCGUAAAAUUGCAGUUGAUACUGUCAGUCUUGAGUACAGUAGAGGUGGGCGGAAUUCGUGGUGUAGCGGUGAAAUGCUUAGAUAUCACGAAGAACUCCGAUUGCGAAGGCAGCUCACUGGACUGCAACUGACACUGAUGCUCGAAAGUGUGGGUAUCAAACAGGAUUAGAUACCCUGGUAGUCCACACAGUAAACGAUGAAUACUCGCUGUUUGCGAUAUACAGUAAGCGGCCAAGCGAAAGCAUUAAGUAUUCCACCUGGGGAGUACGCCGGCAACGGUGAAACUCAAAGGAAUUGACGGGGGCCCGCACAAGCGGAGGAACAUGUGGUUUAAUUCGAUGAUACGCGAGGAACCUUACCCGGGCUUAAAUUGCAGUGGAAUGAUGUGGAAACAUGUCAGUGAGCAAUCACCGCUGUGAAGGUGCUGCAUGGUUGUCGUCAGCUCGUGCCGUGAGGUGUCGGCUUAAGUGCCAUAACGAGCGCAACCCUUAUCUUUAGUUACUAACAGGUUAUGCUGAGGACUCUAGAGAGACUGCCGUCGUAAGAUGUGAGGAAGGUGGGGAUGACGUCAAAUCAGCACGGCCCUUACGUCCGGGGCUACACACGUGUUACAAUGGGGGGUACAGAAGGCAGCUAGCGGGUGACCGUAUGCUAAUCCCAAAAGCCUCUCUCAGUUCGGAUUGGAGUCUGCAACCCGACUCCAUGAAGCUGGAUUCGCUAGUAAUCGCGCAUCAGCCACGGCGCGGUGAAUACGUUCCCGGGCCUUGUACACACCGCCCGUCAAGCCAUGAAAGCCGGGGGUACCUGAAGUGCGUAACCGCAAGGAGCGCCCUAGGGUAAAACUGGUGAUUGGGGCUAA
rnacentral:rRNA from 1 species